CUGAGGAUUGAACCCAGGGCCUUGUGCAUGCUAGGCAAGCACUCUACCAACUCAGGUAUAUCCCCAGCCCUGUCUAGAACUUUUGAUACACAGCCACAACUUCUGACAAUAUGUGAGAUACAUGAGAUCUGCUAUAACUGGUAGGAAACUGAUACUUCUCUAUGAGCAAGGCCAGUGCUACCCAAGUGGAGUAGUUGACAUGAGCUUGACAUGACCACAUGCACCAUGCCACAAGGAAAGAUUUAUAAGAAAAAUGCCACAGAAACAAGGGAAAGAUCCCAAGUUCUAUGUGAGUCCUUACCUUUUCCCUCUGAAAGUAGAGGGGAAAUAACUAGGAAGAUGGUGUGGAGUCCCGGGGUGCAGGAGGAGCUCACUUUUGUUGAAUUUCGAGGAUUAACAAGGAUUGGUACAUGUGGCCAGAAAUGGCAAUAUAGGCAACUGUUCUAAUUUUCAAAAAGAAGGGAACAAUGAAUUCUGGAAAUGGAAAUGUAAGAUGUAUGAGCUAAUACCACUAAAUCAAUUGACAGCUGAUUGACACCAUAUCUUGCUAAAGUAAUGGAUCUGAUAGCAACCUGAAGGGAUUUAUAGAAUAGUAAGCUCUGGAGUUCCAGUUUGGGAUGAAAAUGUGUACAGACCAUUUCUUACUCAACUAUACAUCCCUUCCCCAUAUUUAGGAUGUUUCUGGAACAGAACUGGCACUUGGAAAAUGUUUGUUGAAUAAAUUAAUUGUUGGUUGAACAAAAGAAUGA
rnacentral:lncRNA from 1 species